AGCUCCAAUAGCGUAUUGUAAAGUUGUUGCAGUUAAAAAGCUCGUAGUUGGAUUUCGGGCUCGGCGACGACGGUCAGCCGCAAGGUAUGUCACUGUCGGCGUUGGCCUUCUUCGCGCAGACUUCGCGUGCUCUUAACUGAGUGUGCGUCGGAUACGCGACGUUUACUUUGAAAAAAUUAGAGUGUUCAAAGCAGGCUCGUGCUUGGAUACAUUAGCAUGGAAUAAUGAGAUAGGGCCACCGCGGUCUAUUUUGUUGGUUUGCACGUUGUGGUAAUGAUUAACAGGAACGGUUGGGGGUAUUCGUAUUCAAUUGUCAGAGGUGAAAUUCUUGGAUUUGUGGAAGACGAACUACUGCGAAAGCAUUUACCAAGGAUGUUUUCAUUAAUCAAGAACGAAAGUA
rnacentral:rRNA from 1 species